AACAAGAGCAAAGCUCCAUCUCAAAAGAAAAAAAGAUCCCACAACUUACUCACAUGAUGGAAGACAUUCUCACAGAGAGAAUGAAAAGAAUGGAUUCGAUCUCCAUGUAGCAAAAAGAUCUGCUUGUAGCAAAAAGAACAGAUGUCAAAACUAAAAUCUGGAGUGAAAAGAGCAAGCAUCAUAAUGUCUGAAAACAUUUCUAUACAGUGUAUUGAGAAAGCCUGACAAUUCGGAAAAAUAAUUCAUUUCUUCACUGAGACAUUUAUUCACUGUCUUUUCCUUUUCUUUUUUUAAGGCAAAUGAUUGACUACAUAGUUGUAAAGAUGUCUGGAGGUUGAAGAAAAAUACAGUGAGCUUAUUGUUUGAAUAUUUAACUAACAUAUUGUUUAAAAAUCAAAAAGUUCCCAAGGUUUCCGGAAUUUUCAGACACGAAUGUAAACUAACUCUCUCUUACAUGGCUCUGUAUUAGCUACAAGCUCAUGUCUGUGUAUGUAAGAGUAAUUUUUAAAACAUCCGGGAGACUGAGCAGGUAUGAAGACUAAAGUCAAUGUGAUAACUUGGGGCCAGAUCCUGGAACAAAAGAGGACGGUAAUGGGAAAAGUGAUAAAUCUCGUAAAGUUUGAAGUUUAGUUAAGAGUAACGGAACAGUGUUGGUUUUUAAUUGCGACAAAUGUCCCAUAACAAUGUAAGAUGUUAACAAUAGAGCAAACCGGGUGAGAGAAAUACAGGAACUUUUUGCAUGAUCUUUGCAACUUUCUGUAAAUCCCAAACUAGUCUAAAACAAAAAGUAUAUAUUUUUUAAAUAUGGAAGGUUCUACCCAGACUGAGCAACAGGAGAGGCCCAGAGAGGGAGAGAGGACUAGACUUCAGGGGCUGGGGGAGGGUUAAGGGGCUUCGGUCUUAUCUAUAACAGGAUAAAUAUCUGUUUUAAGUCGAAUAUAUUCAGCUAUACCUUGUGCAAUUCAAGUUAAUUUUAAAAAUAUUUUAUAAAAAGGAGAACUACAGCUAUCUCCUUGAUUCGAGGCUGUCUUUACUUUUUUUUCCUAAAUCACAGAUGCUCAAUGGAGCUGGGAAACCUUUGGGACCAGGAGGCUGUGACAUCUGACCCUGGCUCCGUUCUGUCCAGGCUGUGGGACCUCAGGGGAAGGUAGAGCCCUUCACAGGCCUCAGUUUCUCCCUGGCAAAUGAAAUUACUAAGCCCACCGACCCCCCUCUUCCAGACAGGGAAUCCGGGGAAGGUGAUUCCAGGGCAUGAUCAGGACAUCCCCCAGGGCUCUGCACUCCGCUGGCUCAACACUCCCAUCUGUGUAAUGGGUUGAGGAGCGAGGCUACCCCUACAGGACUGCGGAAAGCAAGGCAGGGUUUGACAGCGUGUGGGUGGGUGCCGGGUGCAGGCGGAGGCUGAAGAGUGGAAGUGCUUCUUCCACCCGGGCCACGCCGAGGCUGUCCCCGCACCGCUCCCCGCCCACAAACCCUAGGUCCUCACCUGAAAUCCCCUCCCAGGUCCCUGCCGUCGCGCUGAGGGCCAGACCCGGACUUGUCGAGGCUAAUAGGACAUCCAACCCUCUGGCUAUGGCAUCUUGGAGGAACAGGCAGGUCUUGAAAAAUAGCAGAAAUUCCAAAUUCCCCUGCCCCGGGAGAACUGAAAGGACCCUGCUGAGGACAGAGCUGAUAUGGCCUCGGAAUGAAGAUGAGGGAAGAUCAUCCCAAGGAAGAUCACCCCUCUAGCCCAUGGCGAAAGGGCUGGAAUACGCAAGGACUUGAAAAGCAAGUUUUGCUUUUCAUCUAAACCUAAGCAAGUUGCUUCAUCUGUGAACCUCAACUACUUUACUUGUGCAAUGGGCAUGUUGCUGGUAGUGGUGAUAGCAGGGAGCUACCCGCAGAGCUUCCAACUCUGGCAUGUAAGCCUUCCUCUGGGGAAGGGAAGCUCAUGUGUCAGCUGGACCCCUGGGCAAAUUUAUUCUCCCAGGGUCGAACAUUCAGACAUUUCCCUGUAGGAGCCUCAGUGUGUUCAGAUGUUCACUGUCCAGUAGAAACAAGACAUCUAGGCAACUCUCCCACCUCACCAAGCCUCUGUUCCCUUCCCUGGCCACUGUGGGGUUGUGAGAGUAAUGUCAAGACCCAACCCAAUUAGAACACAGGGAAUUUUGCCUGGGAAAGGGAGGCCUUCUACCCUGCACCACUGCUUUCUCUCUUCCAAGGAUCAGCUCUGAUUCAUGUCUGCAUCCUAAAAGCUACAAAUAAACUGUGUCGGGAAAGGAAAA